AUGGGUUUUUCUGUAUUCCUGGUCUAUGGCUGCAACAGGUGGCCGAGGCCUGAGCUUCCCCCACCCUGCCAGGGCAGGCCAGGGGCACAAGCAGCAAGCAAUGCGGGACGUAAGGAAAGCUUUAUGUCCUGCAUGUCCUACACCGAGCGGACUACAGCAGCUCACUUCUCCCGGAAGGAGCAGAAACCCUUACGAAACGCAGCACCAAGCCACUCGUCACCUUACGCUGUACUUUCUUCCCACCCCGUGCUGGCCCAGCGACUUGUGGCCGCCUUCACCAAAUCCAAAACCCCAAAAAUCCCCCGAACCCGUCGCCUCCCUGCGCCCCCCUCCCGGGACGCCCGGGACGCCCGGGCUGCGGGCAGCGGCCGCGGGGGAAGCGGCCCCAGCGGGACGGGCCCCGGAGCCGUGGCAGGGCCGGCGCUGGGGCUCGGGGCUCGGAGGGGGUCACGACGCCGCCCCGCAGCCUCCCACCCCCCGCCGCCGGCUCCUACCGGCAGGGCACGGACGCAGUCACCGAGCCCCGGCCUCCCCCGGCUGGGAAGCGAAAGCGAAAGCGGCCGGGCCGCCAUCGCCGGAACCCGGUGUCCGCCCCGGCCUCCUCCUUUCCUUCCUUCCUCCCUCCCUCCUUCCCUCCGUCCCUGCCUUCCCUCCUUCCCUCCCGGCCCCGGCGGGUCCCGGUUCCCCCGCCGCGGCCCCUCACCAUGCGGCGGCUGGGCCCGGGGCGCUGGCAGGGAGCUGGCUGGGCUCCCCCCCCCCCCCCGCAGCGGGGAAGCGGCUCUGCCCCGCCCGCCACGCACACGAGGCACAAACACACACCAGGCACACCCGCACACCGCACACAAACACACCGCGCACACGCCCGCACUCCCCUUCGCCUCCGGUUUGCCCCCGAGGUGGGCGAGGGAGCCGCAGCCAAGCAGGGCAGGGGCCGGGGCUCGCCCCGCUGUCAGCCCCGCGAGCAGCAGCGGGGCUCCGGGGCAGGAGCUCGCCGCGGGAGGGAGGUUAAAUGGCUGCUUCUGGAAGGCGGCCACGGGUCGCCUGGUGACCCCCACAUAUUUUAAGAGCUUUUCUUAA
rnacentral:lncRNA from 1 species